AGAGCAGGAUGCCGUGUGAAAACGCGGAUAUUUUUCAGGUAACUGGAAAAUACUGGAAAGUGCCGCAGAAAAUAUACCGCCAAUGGCCUGCUUGCAGGAACAGGUAAGGGUGAAAUGGCGGGGUAAGAGCCCACCGCUGAACCGGUAACGAUUCAGGCAGGGUAAACCCCAUCCGGAGCAAGAUCAAACAGGAAUCAGCUGCUCGCUGUUAAUUCCGGGUAAGAUCGCAUUAGAUAGAUGGCUAUCCACGACAGAAUCCGGCUUAUCCUCCGUUUCAGUUA
rnacentral:RNase_P_RNA from 1 species